AGGGAAUCUUCCGCAAUGGACGAAAGUCUGACGGAGCAACGCCGCGUGAGUGAAGAAGGCCUUCGGGUCGUAAAACUCUGUUGCCGGGGAAGAACAAGUGCCGUUCGAACAGGGCGGCGCCUUGACGGUACCCGGCCAGAAAGCCACGGCUAACUACGUGCCAGCAGCCGCGGUAAUACGUAGGUGGCAAGCGUUGUCCGGAAUUAUUGGGCGUAAAGCGCGCGCAGGCGGUUUCUUAAGGCUGAUGUGAAAUCUUGCGGCUCAACCGCAAGCGGUCAUUGGAAACUGGAAGACUUGAGGGCAGAAGAGGAGAGUGGAAUUCCACGUGUAGCGGUGAAAUGCGUAGAGAUGUGGAGGAACACCAGUGGCGAAGGCGACUCUCUGGUCUGUAACUGACGCUGAGGCGCGAAAGCGUGGGGAGCAAAC
rnacentral:rRNA from 1 species